rnacentral:rRNA from 1 species
AGCAGCAGCCGCGGUAAUACGAAGGGGGCUAGCGUUGUUCGGAUUUACUGGGCGUAAAGGGCGCGUAGGCGGACUGAUAAGUCAGGGGUGAAAUCCCAAGGCUCAACCUUGGAACUGCCUUUGAUACUGUUUGUCUUGAGUUCGAGAGAGGUAAGUGGAACUGCGAGUGUAGAGGUGAAAUUCGUAGAUAUUCGCAAGAACACCAGUGGCGAAGGCGGCUUACUGGCUCGAUACUGACGCUGAGGCGCGAAAGCGUGGGGAGCAAACAGGAUUAGAUACCCCAGUAGUCCCUGUCUCUUAUAC